GCCGCCAUAUCACGUUUAAACGCCGAUUCUCGUCUGAUCAACGGAGUUAAGCAACGUCGAGCCUGGUUAAUACUUAGAUGGUUGAUAGCUUGAGAAUACCAAGUGCUGUAAG